rnacentral:rRNA from 1 species
UACGUAGGGGGCAAGCGUUGUCCGGAUUUAUUGGGCGUAAAGAGCGUGUAGGCGGUUAGGUAGGUCCGUUGUGAAAACUCGAGGCUUAACCUCGAGACGCCGAUGGAAACCAUCUGACUAGAGUCCGGAAGAGGAGAGUGGAAUUCCUGGUGUAGCGGUGAAAUGCGCAGAUAUCAGGAAGAACACCCGUGGCUAAGGCGGCUCUCUAGUACGUGACUGACGCUGAGACGCGAAAGCGUGGGGAGCGAACAGG